CAGCAGCCACGGGAAUACAGAGGGUGCGAGCGUUAAUCGGAUUUACUGGGCGUAAAGCGUGCGUAGGCGGCUUCUUAAGUCGGAUGUGAAAUCCCUGAGCUUAACUUAGGAAUUGCAUUCGAUACUGGGAAGCUAGAGUAUGGGAGAGGAUGAUAGAAUUCCAGGUGUAGCGGUGAAAUGCGUAGAGAUCUGGAGGAAUACCGAUGGCGAAGGCAGCCAUCUGGCCUAAUACUGACGCUGAGGUACGAAAGCAUGGGGAGCAAACAGGAUUAGAUACCCCUGUAGUCCCUGUCUCUUAUAC
rnacentral:rRNA from 1 species